GACGAACGCUGGCGGCGUGCUUAACACAUGCAAGUCGAACGGAGUGGCGGACGGGUGAGUAACGCGUAAUCAACCUGCCCUUCAGAGGGGGACAACAGUUGGAAACGACUGCUAAUCCCGCAUACUGAAGGAGGGGAUUGCGUCGGAUUAGCUAGUUGGAGGGGUAACGGCCCACCAAGGCGAUGAUCAGUAGCCGGUCUGAGAGGAUGAACGGCCACAUCGGGAAUGAGACACGGCCCAGACCUCUACGGGAGGCAGCAGUGGGGAAUCUUUCGAAAUGGACGAAAGUCGGACGGAGCAACGCCGCGUGAGUGAUGACGGCCUUCGGGUUGUAAAGCUCUGUUAAUCGGGACGCGUUACCGGAAUAGAAAGCAACGGCUAACUACGUGCCAGCAGCCGCGGUAAUAC
rnacentral:rRNA from 1 species